UAGAAGAUGGUGUAUUGGAAGCACAAGGAGUUUUGAUCUCCUUAGGAUGGGUUCGAGUCCCAUUUUUCUAA
rnacentral:tRNA from 1 species